rnacentral:rRNA from 1 species
UAGUCCACGCCGUAAACGAUGGACACUAGUUGUUGGGAUUUGUCUCAGUGACUAAGCGAAAGUGAUAAGUGUCCCACCUGGGGAGUACGAUCGCAAGAUUGAAACUCAAAGGAAUUGACGGGGGCCCGCACAAGCGGUGGAGCAUGUGGUUUAAUUCGAUGAUACGCGAGGAACCUUACCAGGGCUUAAAUGUAGAGUGACAGGGGUAGAGAUACCUUUUUCUUCGGACACUUUACAAGGUGCUGCAUGGUUGUCGUCAGCUCGUGCCGUGAGGUGUCAGGUUAAGUCCUAUAACGAGCGCAACCCUUAUCGUUAGUUGCUAGCAGGUAAAGCUGAGGACUCUAGCGAGACUGCCGGUGCAAACCGUGAGGAAGGUGGGGAUGACGUCAAAUCAUCACGGCCCUUACGUCCUGGGCUACACACGUGCUACAAUGGUAUGGACAAUGGGUAGCGAACCUGCGAAGGUAAGCCAAUCUCUAAAAGCCGUUCUCAGUUCGGAUUGGAGUCUGCAACUCG